GGGACACGUGGUAUCCUGUCUGAAUAUGGGGGGACCAUCCUCCAAGGCUAAAUACUCCUGACUGACCGAUAGUGAACCAGUACCGUGAGGGAAAGGCGAAAAGAACCCCGGCGAGGGGAGUGAAAAAGAACCUGAAACCGUGUACGUACAAGCAGUGGGAGCACCUUCGGGUGUGACUGCGUACCUUUUGUAUAAUGGGUCAGCGACUUAUAUUCUGUAGCAAGGUUAACCGUAUAGGGGAGCCGCAGGGAAACCGAGUCUUAACUGGGCGUUAAGUUGCAGGGUAUAGACCCGAAACCCGGUGAUCUAGCCAUGGGCAGGUUGAAGGUUGGGUAACACUAACUGGAGGACCGAACCGACUAAUGUUGAAAAAUUAGCGGAUGACUUGUGGCUGGGGGUGAAAGGCCAAUCAAACCGGGAGAUAGCUGGUUCUCCCCGAAAGCUAUUUAGGUAGCGCCUCGUGAAUUCAUCUUCGGGGGUAGAGCACUGUUUCGGCUAGGGGGUCAUCCCGACUUACCAACCCGAUGCAAACUACGAAUACCGAAGAAUGUUAUCACGGGAGACACACGGCGGGUGCUAACGUCCGUCGUGAAGAGGGAAACAACCCAGACCGCCAGCUAAGGUCCCAAAGUCAUGGUUAAGUGGGAAACGAUGUGGGAAGGCACAGACAGCCAGGAUGUUGGCUUAGAAGCAGCCAUCAUUUAAAGAAAGCGUAAUAGCUCACUGGUCGAGUCGGCCUGCGCGGAAGAUGUAACGGGGCUAAACCAUGCACCGAAGCUGCGGCAGCGACACUAUGUGUUGUUGGGUAGGGGAGCGUUCUGUAAGCCUGCGAAGGUGACCUGUGAGGGUUGCUGGAGGUAUCAGAAGUGCGAAUGCUGACAUAAGUAACGAUAAAGCGGGUGAAAAGCCCGCUCGCCGGAAGACCAAGGGUUCCUGUCCAACGUUAAUCGGGGCAGGGUGAGUCGACCCCUAAGGCGAGGCCGAAAGGCGUAGUCGAUGGGAAACAGGUUAAUAUUCCUGUACUUGGUGUUACUGCGAAGGGGGGACGGAGAAGGCUAUGUUAGCCGGGCGACGGUUGUCCCGGUUUAAGCAUGUAGGCUGGUUAUCCAGGCAAAUCCGGAUAAUCAAGGCUGAGGUGUGAUGACGAGGCACUACGGUGCUGAAGUAACAAAUGCCCUGCUUCCAGGAAAAGCCUCUAAGCAUCAGGUAACAUCAAAUCGUACCCCAAACCGACACAGGUGGUCAGGUAGAGAAUACCAAGGCGCUUGAGAGAACUCGGGUGAAGGAACUAGGCAAAAUGGUGCCGUAACUUCGGGAGAAGGCACGCUGGUGUGUAGGUGAAGUCCCUGCGGAUGGAGCUGAGACCAGUCGAAGAUACCAGCUGGCUGCAACUGUUUAUUAAAAACACAGCACUGUGCAAACACGAAAGUGGACGUAUACGGUGUGACGCCUGCCCGGUGCCGGAAGGUUAAUUGAUGGGGUUAUCCGUAAGGAGAAGCUCUUGAUCGAAGCCCCGGUAAACGGCGGCCGUAACUAUAACGGUCCUAAGGUAGCGAAAUUCCUUGUCGGGUAAGUUCCGACCUGCACGAAUGGCGUAAUGAUGGCCAGGCUGUCUCCACCCGAGACUCAGUGAAAUUGAACUCGCUGUGAAGAUGCAGUGUACCCGCGGCAAGACGGAAAGACCCCGUGAACCUUUACUAUAGCUUGACACUGAACAUUGAGCCUUGAUGUGUAGGAUAGGUGGGAGGCUUUGAAGCGUGGACGCCAGUCUGCGUGGAGCCAACCUUGAAAUACCACCCUU
rnacentral:rRNA from 1 species